rnacentral:rRNA from 1 species
GAUGAACGCUGGCGGCGUGCUUAACACAUGCAAGUCGAACGGAGUUAACAUUUUUGAAGCAAAUAGCUUGCUAGGAGCAGAGAUGUUGUUAACUUAGUGGCGGACGGGUGAGUAACGCGUGGGUAACCUGCCGUAUACAGGGGGAUAACACUUAGAAAUAGGUGCUAAAACCGCAUAAGCGCACAGUUCCGCAUGGAAUGGUGUGAAAAACUCCGGUGGUAUACGAUGGACCCGCGUCUGAUUAGCCAGUUGGCAGGGUAACGGCCUACCAAAGCGACGAUCAGUAGCCGGCCUGAGAGGGCGGACGGCCACAUUGGGACUGAGACACGGCCCAA